rnacentral:rRNA from 1 species
UAAUACGGAGGGGGCCAGCGUUGCUCGGAAUCACUGGGCGUAAAGGGCUCGUAGGCGGUCUGAUAAGUCCUGUGUGAAAUCCCUUGGCUUAACCAAGGAACUGCGCUGGAUACUGUCGGACUAGAGGCCGGGAGAGGGAAGCGGAAUUCCGAGUGUAGCGGUGAAAUGCGUAGAUAUUCGGAGGAACACCGGUGGCGAAGGCGGCUUCCUGGACCGGUUCUGACGCUAAAAAGCGAAAGCUAGGGUAGCAAACAGGAUUAGAUACCCUGGUAGUCCUAGCUGUAAACGAUGGGCGCUUGGUGUUGCGGGUAUCGACCCCUGCAGUGCCGAAGCUAACGCAUUAAGCGCCCCGCCUGGGGAGUACGGUCGCAAGGCUG